UACGUAGGGUGCGAGCGUUAAUCGGAAUACUGGGCGUAAAGCGUGCGCAGGCGGUGAUGUAAGACAGAUGUGAAAUCCCCGGGCUCAACCUGGGAACUGCAUUUGUGACUGCAUCGCUGGAGUGCGGCAGAGGGGGGAUGGAAUUCCGCGUGUAGCAGUGAAAUGCGUAGAUAUGCGGAGGAACACCGAUGGCGAAGGCAAUCCCCUGGGCCUGCACUGACGCUCAUGCACGAAAGCGUGGGGAGCAAACAGG
rnacentral:rRNA from 1 species